GAUGAACGCUGACAGAAUGCUUAACACAUGCAAGUCAACUUGAACUUCGGUUUGGGUGGCGGACGGGUGAGUAACGCGUAAAGAACUUGCCUCACAGCUAGGGACAACAUUUGGAAACGAAUGCUAAUACCUGAUAUUAUGAUUAUAUGGCAUCGUAUAAUUAUGAAAGCUAUAUGCGCUGUGAGAGAGCUUUGCGUCCCAUUAGCUAGUUGGGGAGGUAACAGCUCACCAAGGCGAUGAUGGGUAGCCGGCCUGAGAGGGUGAUCGGCCACAAGGGGACUGAGACACGGCCCUUACUCCUACGGGAGGCAGCAGUGGGGAAUAUUGGACAAUGGACCGAGAGUCUGAUCCAGCAAUUCUGUGUGCACGAUGAAGUUUUUCGGAAUGUAAAGUGCUUUCAGUUGGGAAGAAAAAAAUGACGGUACCAACAGAAGAAGUGACGGCUAAAUACGU
rnacentral:rRNA from 1 species